CUGACUCAGGAUGAACGCUAGCGGCAGGCUUAACACAUGCAAGUCGAGGGGCAUCGGGAGUAGCAAUACUUGCCGGCGACCGGCGCAAGGGUGCGUAACGCGUGAGCAACAUGCCCGUAUCAGGGGGGAUAAUCCAUGGAAACGUGGUCUAAUACCCCAUAGUAAUUAUGUAAGGCAUCUUAUAUAAUUUAAAGCUUUGGUGGAUACGGAUUGGCUCACGUGACAUUAGCUGGAUGGUAAGGUAACGGCUUACCAUGGCUACGAUGUCUAGGGGUUCUGAGAGGAAGGUCCCCCCACACUGGAACUGAGACACGGUCCAGACUCCUACGGGAGGCAGCAGUGAGGAAUAUUGGACAAUGGAUGGAAAUCUGAUCCAGCCAUGCCGCGUGCAGGAAAGACGGCCCUAUGGGUUGUAAACUGCUUUUGUAUGGGAGCAAUAAGGGCUACGUGUAGUCCGAUGAGAGUACCAUACGAAUAAGCACCGGCUAACUCCGUGCCAGCAGCCGC
rnacentral:rRNA from 1 species